AACUCGACUACAUGAAGCUGGAAUCGCUAGUAAUCGCGAAUCAGAAUGUCGCGGNGAAUACGUUCCCGGGUCUUGUACACCACCGCCCGUCACACCAUGGGAGUCAGUAACGCCCGAAGUCAGUGACCCCAACCUUAUGGAGGGAGCUGCCGAAGGCGGGACCGAUAACUGGGGUGAAGUCGUAACAAGGUACC
rnacentral:rRNA from 1 species